AAAUAGCUAAACAUUACAGGUGCUUCUUUAGAAGGAAGUUAAAAGGGAAAGCGGUGAAAAUCCGCUACAGCCCCCGCUACUGUAAGUGGGAACGAAAUCAUAAUAUGCCACUGGAGAAAUUUCUCUGGGAAGGUUUGAUAGUAGGGAGUACCACAAGUCAGGAGACCUGCCUGUAGAUUUUAUAAAUA
rnacentral:ncRNA from 2 species